GACGAACGCUGGCGGCGUGCUUAACACUUGCAAGUCGAACGGAAAGGCCCUGCUUUUGUGGGGUGCUCGAGUGGCGAACGGGUGAGUAACACGUGAGUAACCUGCCCUUGACUUUGGGAUAACUUCAGGAAACUGGGGCUAAUACCGGAUAGGAGCUCCUGCUGCAUGGUGGGGGUUGGAAAGUUUCGGCGGUUGGGGAUGGACUCGCGGCUUAUCAGCUUGUUGGUGGGGUAGUGGCUUACCAAGGCUUUGACGGGUAGCCGGCCUGAGGGGGUGACCGGCCACAUUGGGACUGAGAUACGGCCCAGACUCCUACGGGAGGCAGCAGUGGGGAAUAUUGCACAAUGGGCGGAAGCCUGAUGCAGCAACGCCGCGUGCGGGAUGACGGCCUUCGGGUUGUAAACCGCUUUCGCCUGUGACGAAGCGUGAGUGACGGUAAUGGGUAAAGAAGCACCGGCUAACUACGUG
rnacentral:rRNA from 1 species